UUUCUGGUUGAUAACAAACUUUACAUUGCUUGGUAGCUAGGGCCUAUUUAUUUCCUAAACCCUCAGACCUGAAAUGGUAACCAUUAUUACCACAUAGUAGGUGCUUAGUAAAAAAAAUAUAGUAAUUGAAUUGGACAGGCAUAGCUUCCUAUGCCCAUCCUCCAGGUACUUAGAGGGUGGAGACAGAAGGAUCGGUAAUAUGGCCUAUAUGAGACUUUGUCUCAAGAGAAUCUAAGUGAAAAACGGGUGUCAUGAGGCUGGGGAUUCGGCUCAGCAGUGAUGUCUGCCCAGAAGGCAGGCUGUUUGCUGAGCUUUCCUUCAGUGAUUAAUCAUCUCCUUAACUCAGUGGUAGGCUGUGUUCUGGGGGCCCUCCAAUGAGCCAGGCUGCUGCAGUGGCCAAAGGGAUCAGCAAGACAGCAAACACCCAGAAGGUGGGGGGAGAGAUUUUAGUGGCUGGUGACAGCAGGAAGGUUUGACGGUGAAGGGACGGCCAAGUUCCUGCAGACAGGAGCUGGGGAAUCCCCUGACACCACUAGCAUAGAAAUAGGGACACCAACCCUACAACCCAUUCAGUCAACAACCCGAAGGGAACUUAGAGGUGGCUUUUUCCCUAAGCUCCCCAAACUGCGACCAAAGAGAAACAGCAGCUAUUCAUGGAUUCUAACUCCAUUUUGCGGCCAGCAAGGACCACACUCAGGCAUUCCAGACGUUAGUGUAACCCUAAGUGUCGGAAUCUGUGGUUUUGAAGGCAACACCUCGUCCUGCAGUCUCUGUUGGCAGCUGCGGGGGGCUUCUCAGAGGAACCGGUUUAAUGGAAGCUAAGUUAGAGGGGCUUCUGCAUGAGCAGGCAGUUUGAUGGAAGCUAAGACUCACUCUGUAGACCUUUGCCAGUCUCUGUCCUCCAAGUGCUGGGAUUGAAGGCAUGCUCCCUGGCUACCAGAGUUCAAAGUCUAAGUACGGUCUCUGCUUCAGCUUUCAAGCACUACGGUUCCAGACGUAUAUAACUAAUGAUUUCUUAGAGGUCCCACCCCACUCUCAACAUUGUUGCACUGGGGAUUAAAUUUCUGGCACAUAAACUGAUACAAACCAACGGCACCAGAGCAGAUCUAAGAGUCUUUCUCAGGAGCUCAGCGGUGGAAGCACUCGUCUCUCAGGGAAGUUUAGCUUCCAGGGAAACAGAAGAAUGACCUGACACAUCUGGAGGAAUGUCCGUAUCAGCCAGGAAGCAUAAAACGUCAUCUGUGGACUGUGAACAAGACUCUGUGGUCUGUGAACAAGAGACUAAAAUACUUCUUUUACCUGGCAAUUCAAAUGGAGGGCACAGAUGUAUUUUUAAGUAUCCAGCGCCCUCUGCUGUUGGCAGCUAGAAAUGCACAAAGAGAUCAAUUUCAUUAAAAACAUUAUUUGUGUGUGUAUGAAUGGGCGUGUGUGUGUGUGUGUGUGUGUGUGUGUGUGUGUGUGUGUGUGUGUGUGUGUGUUUCCACAGAAGAAGCUAUCAGAUCCCCUGGAGCUAGAAUUGUAGAUACUUGUGCCCAAGGGGUAGGGGGUUUGCUGGAAACUGAACUCUGUUCGUCAGGAAGAGCAGAAAGUGCUCUUAACUGCUGAUUCAGCUCCCUAGUUCCCUCAAUUUUAAUUUUUUGACAUCAGGUGGAACAAGGAAGUGGAAUUACAAAACCAAACUGUAAACACACAGGACUCUCAUAAUGAGAAUAAUAGAGUAGUAACCCGAGAGCCUCCAGGGGUGGGGGAGGAUGAGGUAAUACGGGCUCUGGAGAUUCGGAGAGAUGGGGCCUCGGUGGAGUCACAGAGCAGGCCUGUGGCAGUUCCACUUCCACAGGAUUUGAUAUUCCUGCUUUUUGGUGUUACUCUAGUGACCCUGGGAUUCUUAAUUUUCACAUCUCUGAUGACUAAUUUCACGCACUUUCUCAUGCGCUCUUGGCCAAUUGGAUGUUUUCUCUUUUAAGUGCCUAUUCAUUUAAGACAUUGGUCAAUUCUUGUUGGGAGGACUUGAUACACUCUAGACACCAAGAGGUCUGUUUCAUUUUCCCUGCCAGUUAAAGAUUUAAAAAGCAGGGAAAGGGCUGAAGAGACGGCUCAGCUGCAAAGAGCACUGACUGAGUUCAAUUCCCAGCACCCACAUGGUGGCUCACCGCCAUCUGUGAUGGGAUGUAACUCCCUCCUGAAGACAGGGCGUUUAUACUGUUAGGAGGCAGUUUCCUGAGUUCAGCCAUCUUAGAAACAGGUUCCACCGAGCUCACAGAAUCCAAGCUGAGUUCACGUUCUCAGGCCCCACAACUGGACUCCUGCCCUGCUCCCUGCUUCGUCAGAUGUUUCAUGUUUGUCUUUUAACCAGUAACGGAUGUCAAGAGGGAAGACACUGCUAUCUUAUUAUCUAAACCAAGACUCGCAAGUCCUAAUUGACUAGGUGCAAUUUGCCCAUUUCUUUCUUUCCUUAUCCUUCUGAAUUCCGGGUCUCCUGGGUCAGCUGACUGCAUGGUGUUUGGCCAUUCCUGCUUUGUUCCUUUAUCGCUCUAGAUUCCGGUCAGAGUCCCAGAGAGCACAUGACUCCAAAAGCUGACUCAAGGACCCUGAAAUCAAGUGACCUGGAUCAGGCCCAGUCUCCAAGGAUGACUUCCUUGCUUAACCCCUUGUGUCGAAAUAUGAUUGGUCAACGCAACCACCCGCCCCAUCCCCCUUGCUUCGUUCGAGUUCCCAUCCCAUAAAAAUGUUGUACAAUCUCCCUUUCAGGGACUUGGUUCUGAGCUCGAACUGGCCGCCUCUUUGUGGGUGCAGAAGAUAAAACUUUAAUUGUUAAGUUUCUGACGAGUUUUCUCGGCGCCUGUCCUGAACCCAACAGUACUAUAUAGAAUAAAUAAAUAUUUUUUUUUCUUUUUUUUUCGGAGCUGGGGACCGAACCCAGGGCCUUGCGCUUGCUAGGCAAGCUCUCUACCACUGAGCUAAAUCCCCAACCCCAAUAAAUAAAUAUUUUAAAAUGAAAGACAUUUACUGGGAGGGGAGGGGGAAGUAGACAUUUGCAUGCAAAAGACACAAAGGGAAAAGACUCUUUGCAAAGCGAAGGGGGAGCUGAAAAGAUCAGUCUUUUCUAGGGGCUUUUAAAACCUCUGUAGAGCCCCACCCCCAACUCCCCAAUUUAGGGUUUGCUGGUUUGGGGAAAACUACAUUGAUUUGCUCAGAACUAUGGUAUGGCAUGACUGACUCAGCCUUGAACUCCUUGAGGCUGUCCAACAGCGGGGAGCCGGCUAGUGGAGACAAAUGUAGCCCAGCUUUGUCUCCAGUCUCCAGGUUGAGGAAGUAGCUGGUCAUCUCGGAGAUUUCCAAGAUGGCCCUCUUCUCUAUCUGUCUGCCUACAGGGAAUCUGUUGAACUCCCAGUCUCUCAGGCUGUCCCUGUCUGCAAUAAUUGACUAGCUAGCCCACAUGGCUUCUCAGAUGUACACACCAUGAAGGGUUUCUCCUGAUGGUUGGCUUUUCUUUUACUCAAUCUGAGAUCUCGUUAGGCAGGUCAUCCUUUGUGAAUUCAAAGACGGCUUGGUCUGCAUGGCAAGAAUAUACAGUGAGACCAUGUUCCAAAAUUAUUUAAUCCUUAAUUGUUAAAAGUUCAACUUUGGGGCAGGAGAGAUGGUUCAGUGGGUAAGUGCACUCGCUGUUCCGUAGAGUGUAUGUGACGAGGUGUAGUGAAGAAGCUGCCCACGUGACUGCUCCAUUACUAGGGGUUUGUGGUGAUUACGGGAGAAAACAUCCUGAGGCAUCUGAAAGAGAAAAGAAAGCAGAUUAGACAUGGCCAGAGCUAAGAAAGGGAGAGCGCAGGAGGGAAGAGUGGCCAAAGCAAAAGAUAGGAUAGUGAGCGAGUGAGAGGAUAGCAAGGGUUGGGGUAAGAGAAUGUGGGACAGCAUAACGGGGGCUGGGGGGAGAACGGCAAGAGUGGGAACAGAAAUAGAGGAAUGAGAACAAAUCACACGGAUUACAUGAAGACGAGACACUGGGUGGAGGGAAAGGCAAGAUGUUCCUGUGGACUUUGAGCUGUAUCACAGGUACUGGAAAUACUGAGGGAGUGGAGACCAGCAUGGGCUUCGAUAGGCUGAUAGGUGCCACAGGUAGCUAGAGGUAAGAGAAGAGACUUCUUCCUGGCCGAUGGGAACAGGUUUCACAAGUUCCUGAGAAAUGCAGGUUUUAUCUAACAGCCAGAAAUCUCUGUAUAGUCCAGCUCAAGCUCACUUCUAGAUAUAUGGACUAGACAUUAUGGACCCCUAAGUUUGGUUCCAACACCUACAUCAAAAGGUUCACAAGCGUCCUUAACUCUAAUUAGUCCUAGUGGAUCUAGCGCCCUCUUCUGGUCUCUGUUAGCAUCUGCACACAUGUGGUACACAUACAAAUACUCUCAGUUACACACAUAGGAAUAAAUAAAUAAAUAAAUAAAUAAAUAAAUAAAUAAAUAA